AGAGUUUGAUCCUGGCUCAGGAUGAACGCUGGCGGCGUGCCUAAUACAUGCAAGUCGAACGAGAACUAUCGGAUCUUCGGAACUGAGAAAUUCUAGUGGCGAACGGGUGAGUAACGCGUUGGUGACCUGCCCCGAAGAGGGGGAUAACGGUUCGAAAGAACCGCUAAUACCCCAUGAGCUCACGAGAGUUAGAGGUCUUGUGAGGAAAGGAGUAAUCCGCUUCGGGAGGGGCCUGCGUCCCAUCAGCUAGUUGGUAGGGUAAAAGCCUACCAAGGCGAUGACGGGUAGGGGACCUGAGAGGGUGACCCCCCACAAUGGAACUGAAACACGGUCCAUACACCUACGGGUGGCAGCAGUAGGGAAUAUUGCUUAAUGGACGAAAGUCUGAAGCAGCAACGCCGCGUGUACGAUGAAGGCCUUCGGGUUGUAAAGUACUUUUUGUAGGGAUGAGGAAGGACAGUACCUGUAGAAUAAGCCUCGGCUAACUACGUGCCAGCAGCCGCGGUAAAACGUAGGAGGCGAGCGUUAUCCGGAUUUACUGGGCGUAAAGCGCGUGUAGGCGGAUUGGUAAGUUAGCUGUGAAAGCUCCUGGCUUAACUAGGAGAUGUCGGUUAAUACUGCCAGUCUAGAGUAUGUGAGAGGGAAGUGGAAUUCCGGGUGUAGUGGUGAAAUGCGUAGAUAUCCGGAGGAACACCAGAGGCGAAGGCGGCUUCCUGGCACAUUACUGACGCUCAGACGCGAAAGCUAGGGGAGCGAACGGGAUUAGAGACCCCGGUAGUCCUAGCUGUAAACGAUGUAGACUUGGCGUUGGUGGGUCAAACCCAUCAGUGCCGGAGCUAACGCAUUAAGUCUACCGCCUGGGGACUACGGCCGCAAGGUUAAAACUCAAAGGAAUUGACGGGGACCCGCACAAGCAGCGGAGCGUGUGGUUUAAUUCGAUGUUACACGAAGAACCUUACCAGGGUUUGACAUGCAAGUGGUAGUGAAGCGAAAGCAGAACGACCCUUCGGGGAGCUUACAGGUGCUGCAUGGCUGUCGUCAGCUCGUGUCGUGAGAUGUUCGGUUAAGUCCGCUAACGAGCGCAACCCUCGUCGUGUGUUACAAGUGUCACGCGAGACCGCCGGUCAUAAACCGGAGGAAGGUGGGGAUGACGUCAAGUCAGCAUGGCCUUUAU
rnacentral:rRNA from 1 species